UCAAUGGUGUUUCUAAACACCACCAAAAUACUAAACACAACAAUA
rfam:Struthio camelus australis contig9172, whole genome shotgun sequence.